rnacentral:rRNA from 1 species
GAUGAACGCUGGCGGCGUGCCUAAUACAUGCAAGUCGAGCGAACAGACGAGGAGCUUGCUCCUCUGACGUUAGCGGCGGACGGGUGAGUAACACGUGGAUAACCUACCUAUAAGACUGGGAUAACUUCGGGAAACCGGAGCUAAUACCGGAUAAUAUAUUGAACCGCAUGGUUCAAUAGUGAAAGACGGUUUUGCUGUCACUUAUAGAUGGAUCCGCGCCGCAUUAGCUAGUUGGUAAGGUAACGGCUUACCAAGGCAACGAUGCGUAGCCGACCUGAGAGGGUGGUCGACCACACUGGAACUGAGACACGGUCCAGACUCCUACGGGAGGCAGCAGUAGGGAAUCUUCCGCAAUGGGCGAAAGCCUGACGGAGCAACGCCGCGUGAGUGAUGAAGGUCUUCGGAUCGUAAAACUCUGUUAUUAGGGAAGAACAAAUGUGUAAGUAACUAUGCACGUCUUGACGGUACCUAAUCAGAAAGCCACGGCUAACUACGUG